GAUGAACGCUGGCUACAGGCUUAACACAUGCAAGUCGAGGGGAAACGACGGGGAAGCUUGCUUCCCCGGGCGUCGACCGGCGCACGGGUGAGUAACGCGUAUCCAACCUGCCUCUGACUGAGGGAUAACCCGUCGAAAGUCGGCCUAAUACCUCAUGGUAUCGUCUGCGGGCAUCCAACGACGAUUAAAGAUUUCAUCGGUCAGGGAUGGGGAUGCGUCUGAUUAGCUUGUUGGCGGGGUAACGGCCCACCAAGGCUACGAUCAGUAGGGGUUCUGAGAGGAAGGGCCCCCACAUUGGAACUGAGACACGGUCCAAACUCCUACGGGAGGCAGCAGUGAGGAAUAUUGGUCAAUGGGCGAGAGCCUGAACCAGCCAAGUAGCGUGCAGGAAGACGGCCCUAUGGGUUGUAAACUGCUUUUAUGCGGGGAUAAAGUGAGGGACGUGUCCCUCAUUGCAGGUACCGCAUGAAUAAGGACCGGCUAAUUCCGU
rnacentral:rRNA from 1 species